rnacentral:rRNA from 1 species
GUACACGCUGUGACUAGCAUAUCAAUAAGCGGAGGAAAAGAAACUAACAAGGAUUCCCUUAGUGACGGCGAGUGAAGCGGGAAGAGCUCAAAUUUGAAAUCUUGAAAGGUCACCUUUCACGAAUUGUAGUUUAAAGAAGUGUUUUCUGUUACGAUCGUAAUAUAAGUUCUUUGGAAUAGGACAUCACAGAGGGUGAGAAUCCCGUCUAUGAUUGCGAUUUGUAGCUUUGUGAUACACUUUCAAAGAGUCGGGUUGUUUGGGAAUGCAGCCCAAAACGGGAGGUAAAUUUCUUCUAAGGCUAAAUAUUGGCGAGAGACCGAUAGCGAACAAGUACCGUGAGGGAAAGAUGAAAAGAACUUUGAAAAGAGAGUUAAACAGUACGUGAAAUUGUCAAAAGGGAAGCGUUUGACACCAGUGUUGUUUUCUCGAAAAUCAAUUAAAAAUGGCUCGAUUUUGUAUUGCUUGAGACCUUAAAAGCUCACUGUACAUUUUUCGUGUCUUUUUUAAUGCACUUUUCGUUUAACAAGUCAACAUCAGUUUCUUUUGUUGUAAAAGGGUCAUUGGAAGGUGGCUUUCUUUUCGGAGAAAGUGUUUAUAGCCUUUGGCCUCUGCAAUCGGAGAGACUGAGGUCUGCAGCGUAGACUCUUCGGGGUUAGAUACAUUUGUGCUAAGUUAUAGCUUUUUAUAGACAACUUGUUGACUAUAAUUAGUCUUGUAGCUUACUCGCUUAUGCUAUUUUACCUACGCUUAGGAUGUUGAGUAGCGACAUACGCAC